GAUGAACGCUGGCGGCGUGCCUAAGACAUGCAAGUCGAGUGGGUUUAGACCCACGGCGAACGGGUGAGUAAUACCUAGGAACGUUCUUCUAGUCGAGCAUAUACAGCCGAAAGGUUGUGCAAUUCUCGAUGUGGUCGUAAGACUAAAGUCGCAAGACGCUAGAGGUGCGGCCUGGGCACCAUCAGCUAGUUGGUAAGGUAAAAGCUUACCAAGGCUAUGACGGUUAGGGGCUCCGAGAGGAGUAACCCCCCACACUGGGACUGCGACACGGCCCAGACUCCUACGGGAGGCAGCAGUUUGGAAUUUUGGACAAUGGGCGAAAGCCUGAUCCAGCGACGCCGCGUGGACGAUGAAGGCCUCGGUUGUAAGUACUUUGUCUCGGGAACAAUAUUUUGUAGCGUACCGAGAGAAUAAGAGGUUGCUAACUCUGUG
rnacentral:rRNA from 1 species